rnacentral:tRNA from 1 species
GCCUUCGUGGUGUACUGGUAGCACGCUGAGCGCUUAUUCCAGAGGUCGUGGUUCGAGUCCCGGCAAAGGCG